GGGCGCAUGGUGUAGUUGGUUAUCACGCCCGCUUAGCACGUUUAGUCGAUGCUGUUUGCGGGAGGGGUUGGGUUCAAUUCCCAAUGUGUCCA